GAUGAACGCUGGCGGCGUGCCUAAUACAUGCAAGUCGAGCGAACAGACGAGGAGCUUGCUCCUCUGACGUUAGCGGCGGACGGGUGAGUAACACGUGGAUAACCUACCUAUAAGACUGGGAUAACUUCGGGAAACCGGAGCUAAUACCGGAUAAUAUAUUGAACCGCAUGGUUCAAUAGUGAAAGACGGUUUUGCUGUCACUUAUAGAUGGAUCCGCGCCGCAUUAGCUAGUUGGUAAGGUAACGGCUUACCAAGGCGACGAUGCGUAGCCGACCUGAGAGGGUGAUCGGCCACACUGGAACUGAGACACGGUCCAGACUCCUACGGGAGGCAGCAGUGGGGAAUCUUCGGCAAUGGGCGAAAGCCUGACGCAGCCACACCGCGUGAGUGAAGAAGGUCUUCGGAUCGUAAAGCUCUGUUGUUGGGAAAGAACAACUGUGUAAGAAACCAUCGCCGUCUUGACGGUACCUAAUCAAAAAGCACCGGCUAACUACGUG
rnacentral:rRNA from 1 species